UUCUGUCGUACGUUUUGUUAGUGUUAA
rnacentral:sRNA from 1 species